AGAGUUUGAUCCUGGCUCAGGAUGAACGCUGGCGGCGUGCCUAAUACAUGCAAGUCGAGCGAACGGACGAGAAGCUUGCUUCUCUGAUGUUAGCGGCGGACGGGUGAGUAACACGUGGAUAACCUACCUAUAAGACUGGGAUAACUUCGGGAAACCGGAGCUAAUACCGGAUAAUAUUUUGAACCGCAUGGUUCAAAAGUAAAAGACGGUCUUGCUGUCACUUAUAGAUGGAUCCGCGCUGCAUUAGCUAGUUGGUAAGGUAACGGCUUACCAAGGCAACGAUGCAUAGCCGACCUGAGAGGGUGAUCGGCCACACUGGAACUGAGACACGGUCCAGACUCCUACGGGAGGCAGCAGUAGGGAAUCUUCCGCAAUGGGCGAAAGCCUGACGGAGCAACGCCGCGUGAGUGAUGAAGGUCUUCGGAUCGUAAAACUCUGUUAUUAGGGAAGAACAUAUGUGUAAGUAACUGUGCACAUCUUGACGGUACCUAAUCAGAAAGCCACGGCUAACUACGUGCCAGCAGCCGCGGUAAUACGUAGGUGGCAAGCGUUAUCCGGAAUUAUUGGGCGUAAAGCGCGCGUAGGCGGUUUUUUAAGUCUGAUGUGAAAGCCCACGGCUCAACCGUGGAGGGUCAUUGGAAACUGGAAAACUUGAGUGCAGAAGAGGAAAGUGGAAUUCCAUGUGUAGCGGUGAAAUGCGCAGAGAUAUGGAGGAACACCAGUGGCGAAGGCGACUUUCUGGUCUGUAACUGACGCUGAUGUGCGAAAGCGUGGGGAUCAAACAGGAUUAGAUACCCUGGUAGUCCACGCCGUAAACGAUGAGUGCUAAGUGUUAGGGGGUUUCCGCCCCUUAGUGCUGCAGCUAACGCAUUAAGCACUCCGCCUGGGGAGUACGACCGCAAGGUUGAAACUCAAAGGAAUUGACGGGGACCCGCACAAGCGGUGGAGCAUGUGGUUUAAUUCGAAGCAACGCGAAGAACCUUACCAAAUCUUGACAUCCUUUGACAACUCUAGAGAUAGAGCCUUCCCCUUCGGGGGACAAAGUGACAGGUGGUGCAUGGUUGUCGUCAGCUCGUGUCGUGAGAUGUUGGGUUAAGUCCCGCAACGAGCGCAACCCUUAAGCUUAGUUGCCAUCAUUAAGUUGGGCACUCUAAGUUGACUGCCGGUGACAAACCGGAGGAAGGUGGGGAUGACGUCAAAUCAUCAUGCCCCUUAUGAUUUGGGCUACACACGUGCUACAAUGGACAAUACAAAGGGCAGCGAAACCGCGAGGUCAAGCAAAUCCCAUAAAGUUGUUCUCAGUUCGGAUUGUAGUCUGCAACUCGACUACAUGAAGCUGGAAUCGCUAGUAAUCGUAGAUCAGCAUGCUACGGUGAAUACGUUCCCGGGUCUUGUACACACCGCCCGUCACACCACG
rnacentral:rRNA from 1 species